rnacentral:siRNA from 1 species
GAUCAGGUUUCUCCUUGUCUUUCU